rnacentral:misc_RNA from 1 species
GCAAACUUGGUCAUUUAGAGGAAGUAAAAGUCGUAACAAGGUUUCCGUAGGUGAACCUGCGGAAGGAUCAUUAAUGAACUGUCAACACGGGUUGUUGCUGGUCCUCAAACGGGGGCACGUGCACACUCUGUUUACACAUCCACUCACACCUGUGCACCUUCUGUAGUUCUAUGGGUUGGAGGACUCCAUCCUCCUCCUGUGGUUCUACGUCUUUACACACACACCGUGAUAAAGUCUUGUGGAAUGUAUGCCGCGUCUAACGCAAUACAAUACAACUUUCAGCAACGGAUCUCUUGGCUCUCGCAUCGAUGAAGAACGCAGC